rnacentral:rRNA from 1 species
UUGGAGGGCAAGUCUGGUGCCAGCAGCCGCGGUAAUUCCAGCUCCAAUAGCGUAUAUUAAAGUUGUUGCAGUUAAAAAGCUCGUAGUUGAAUUUCGGGAUCAGUAGGUUGGUCAUGCCUAUGGUAUGUACUGGCUUUACUGGUUCCUCCUUCUUGAUGAUCUGUAAUGUCAUUAAUUUGGUGUUGCAGGGAGUCAGGACUGUUACUUUGAAAAAAUUAGAGUGUUUAAAGCAGGCAUACGCUUGAAUACAUUAGCAUGGAAUAAUGAAAUAGGACGUUCGAUCCUAUUUUGUUGGUUUCUAGGAUUGACGUAAUGAUUAAUAGGGAUAGUUGGGGGCAUUAGUAUUCAAUUGUCAGAGGUGAAAUUCUUGGAUUUAUUGAAGACUAACUACUGCGAAAGCAUUUGCCAAGGAUGUUUUCAUUAAUCAAGAACGAAAGUUAGGGGAUCGAAGACGAUCAGAUACCGUCGUAGUCUUAACCAUAAACUAUGCCGACUAGGGAUCGGAUGAUGUUAUUUUUAAUGACUCAUUCGGCGCCUUACGGGAAAC